rnacentral:lncRNA from 1 species
AAUAACUGAUAGCUUCUUAAAAAAAGAAUUACUUAGUGUAACUCAAGUAAAUCUGGAGAUAAAAGUUUUCUGAAUCAAAUUAUUCUUCCAUAAUUUAAAUUUCAUUUCUGGAAGUGAAAAAACAUCUUGAAUACUUUUGUAACAAUUGAAAUAUAUGUUAUUGGACCAAUUUCAUUCAAUGUCAUGUAUAAAAGCAAUAAACGUGUUUUUCUCCCUCAAAUUAUACUCAGUUUAUUUUUUAGUCAGAGGUGACCUUACAAAGGGAGUCACAUGACAAGGAUGUUAUUAAAUUUGUUUCAAUUUAAUUCACCUGAAACAAAUAUCAAAUACAUAUCAGAUGUAGAAUAGAGUCCAGUGAUAUUGAAGUCUGGUAGAACUUGGGUUAUCAACAUGGAAGUUUCCUAGACAAAUAUCCUUAUCAGAAGAGUGAUGAUUACAAUACAUACCAGUUGCUUAAAUGAUGAGCUAAAACUGUAAUUGCAUGAACCAUGGACAUAUAUAUAUAACUAUAGUUACAUUACUCAUAUGGUUUAUAAGAAUUCAUACUUUUGAUUGGCAAAAAGCAAUUGGAGGCAUUCCAAUAGCAAAUUGCAUUUCUCAAUAAAAUUCAACAUUAAAUACUGCACAUGCUUCUUAUGAAAAAGUCACUACAAUGCAUAGCAAAACAAAGGAAAAUCAUGAUGUAACUAGUUAUUUUUGUAGUUGUAGCACAUAUAACUGUAAAUAUAAGAACUGAAUGCAUCUUUUUGUAAUUUUAAAGGGUCGAAAAAGUAUGUUUGGUUGCACAUUUUCAUACAAAAUGUGCUUUGGUCAACAAUUUUACAUUCUAAUAAGAGUACAAAAAGAAGCAUUACAAACAUUCUUUUUUGAUCUGAACAGUUGCAAAAAAAUAAUUAAAAGUUCACAAAACAUUCAUUUGUAUAUGGUUUAAGUUAUAACUUUAUAUAUAUAUACUAUCCUAAAUGAGUCAUGAUUUAAUGUAUAUAUCUUAUGUUUUAAAGAAAAUAUGUUACCAUAUAAAUUGUUAUAUGUGAUGUGGUAUUUGCUGAAGUAUGUGUUCAUUGGUAGUUUGAUUUUGUUUGUUAAAUGAUUACUAUAUUGCAAUAUGCCAUGUAUAAUUUAUUAUUAUUUAUUAGUAUUUGAUUUAUUAAUAACCAUUUAAUUAUAAUAGGCAUAUAUGAUACAUAUGCCACAAUACUCUUUUAUGUAGUCAAUAUAAUAAAUAGUGUACUUGUUUUGAACUUGAAUUGAAUCAGGAAUGGCAGGCAAUGAUUUAUAUAAUGCUAGCAAAAUGUUUAUACUUUGCAUUUUUUUCCAUAAAAUGUACAGCUCUGGUUAAAUUUAGAAAUUAAAGUGCUGGUGUAUGGCAGUGUUAAUUCUUUAUUUAUUUCAAGAUUUUCCAUCAUGUUUUAUUUGUGCCCAAUUUUUUUGGUAGAUUUGUACUACAUAUAAAUCCAAAAUCAUGGCAAAACCAAAGUAUAGGUUUUAAGUUUUUAUUUUCAAUUUAUAUCCAUUAGUUUGUUUAAUUUAUUUUGUUUUUCAAUGUACAUAUAACAACCUAUUAUUUGAACUUGGAAUUAUUUUUAAUUAUGGAAUUUGCAUAAUUUCUAGUAUUUUAAAUUUUAAAUAAAUUCCACGCUUAUUCUGUACUUUAAUGUUCUGUUAAGUGCACAACACUUUCUAUUACAAAGAAGAUAGUAUGUUUUCAAUAGAAUAUACUGUGCCUAGCACAACACUAUCUAUACAAAAUGCAUUGAAAGUGUUAUGAACCGCUCAAAACAUUAAAAUAUCAAAUAAACAUGGAAUUUAUCAAAAAUUUCAAGCACAAGAAAUUGUGCAAAUUCCACAAUUGAAAAUAAUUCCAACUUGAAAAAAUAGCCUGUUAUAUAUGAAUGUUGCUCUCCAUGAAGUGCUUCUACUAGUUGAAUCAGUUGUUUUGUAUGAGUAUUUAUUUUACAUUUAUACAUCAGCCCUUUAUGAUAUGUAUUUCAAAAGUGAUUAUUUUAUAAAAUCAUGAAUUAAGAUACUUGUAUUUAGACCUUCCAACUUGCCAUUUAAAAGGGGAUUUUCCUGAUGAGAGGUGUUGAGCUGAACAUUGAAAUCCUCUCAUUAUAAAAACUAUAUACCUCAUACCAGGCAUUCAAAGCAGAUAAAAAUGGCAUUUAUGCACAUAUUUACUCAUUCAAAGCCAUAGUAUAUUAGAUUUAGAGAAAUGAAGUGUUUUAGAAAUGCCGUCUUGUGCUUUAUUCUUCUAUGUUUUUUAGAAGUUUGGCAUGAAACAAUUUUUGUUAAACAUAUCGAUUUGCUGGUUAAAAACAAUGACAACAAAUCCAUUUAAAUGCAGAAAAAUACCAGAAUUAUACAAAAUUUAUUCACACAGACUUAUAUCACAACAUAUGACCAAUAUUUUAAUCUCACAGGAAGUUUAGUUUGUUCUAGAAUACUAAAGGGUAAAACAUAUGUUAACCUGAUUCAAACAGUUGAAAAAAAUGUCUCUGUUUGCUCAUGUUUAAUGGUAGAUUUAGUUUAUAUUAAAAAAAAAUACCCCAAAGUACAAUCAAUCACCAUUAUAUUAGAGAGAGAUUUUUACAGAAAAUGAAAUUUAUUGUCAUCCAAAUACUAACUAUACAUGUAGCAGAUACAUACAAUAUUUGAAGUGCUGUUAUUUUCUUCUAAAUUAUGAUAUUUAAUCAAAAUGUUACUAUAAUCAUGUUACCUUGUUUUGUUUUUAUAAGUUC